rnacentral:sRNA from 1 species
UUGCUGUGGUGUAGUUUAUUUUUUAUCGUUUGAGAAACCAGGUUUUUUUAAAAGCUAAUAUAGCGUUAUUAUUCUACCUAUUCGUUAAUUUCGUUAUUAUUAGUAUAAUGGAAUCUACUCCUAAGUUGAACUACGUCUUUCAAAUCCACAAGAAAGGCAGCGCUUUGAAAAGCUCUGAAAAGACAAUUGUUAUGAAUGUAUUUCAUAAAUUGCGAGAAGGGAAUCCCAGCGAUUCUAUGAAUGAUGUGCUGUGUAAAACUUCGGACUUAACUGGCGUAUCUACCAGCAGCAUCUCACGGAUGCAAAAAAAAUAUGGCGUUAAUGGCUCAUUUUCCACUCCUGGGAAAAGAAAGACCUGCAAGAAAAUGCAAAGGAACUAGACUACAAAAGUUUGAUGACUUUACUUUGUGUGUCAUUCGUCGGAAGGUGCACUUGUUUUUUAAAAGAAAUGAAGUUCCAACCGUGGCUAAAGUUAUGAAAGUAAUCAAUGAGGAUUCUGACCUUCCGAACUUGACUGUUGACACAACCAGGAGGCUAAUGCUCGAUUUAGGAUUUGUGUAUAAGAAGCGAUCCCGCAAUUCAGUGCUGAUAGAAAGGGAAGAUAUACAAGUGUGGCGACGUCAAUUUUUAAGACAAAUUCGUCGGUACCGAAAUGAAGGAAGGAACAUAAUUUACACCGAUGAAACCUGGGUGAAUUUUGGUCACACAAAAGAAGCAAGACACAUUUAUAAAGAGACCGAAAGAUGCAUUUAUGUCAGGCCUCUCAACUGGACUAAAAGCGCCUUCCGGAAAAGGAUCCAGGUUGAUCAUUACCCAUGCUGGAGGUGAGAAUGGUUUUGUCAAGGAAGCUGAAGAUAUCUUUAAAGGAAAAAAAAGGUAAAGGUGAUUACCAUGAAGAAAUGAAUGGUGAUUACUAUGAAAAUUGGUUUCAAAAUAAGUUACUCCCCAACCUUGCUGCCAAUAGCAUUAUUGUGAUGGACAAUGCAUCAUACCACAGUGUUUUUGUGGAAAACAUUCCUAACUCUUCCACCAAAAAGGAUGACAUUCGACAAUGGCUGACAUCGAAAAACAUUUCCUGGAGCUUUGACAUGCUAAAAGCUGAACUUCUGCUCCUCGUGUCUAAUGUCCGUAACAAAUAUGAGGGCUAUCGGGUUGAUAGACUAGCCGAGCUUCAAGGGCAUACUGUUUUGAGACUGCCACCUUACCACUGUGAACUUAAUCCAAUUGAACAUAUUUGGAGUAUUGUGAAAGGUAAAGUUGCAGCCGAAAAUAAAACAUUUAAAGAGAAUGAAGUGAAACAGAUCACGAAAGAAGCAAUUCAAAACAUUUCUACUGAAACAUGGAAGAACUGUGUUAGCCAUGUUAUUAAAGAGGAAGAACUAAUGUGGGAACUUGACGGAAUGUGUGAUUUUACCGUUGAAAGUUUGGUUAUUAAUGUUGAUCCUGAAUCAACUGAGACUGCUUCCGAAGGAGACACCAGUACUGAUGAAGUUGUGUGUAUGUCAUCAUAAAUGAUACAUGAAUUAAUUUUUUAUUUUUAAGGAAUAAAUCUUGCAGUGUGUCAUCCUUAAUACCUACUAAGCUAAACAACUAACUACUAAGUUUAACAACUAAAAACACAAUAAAAAGAACUAGUAAAUAACUUGUCUUUAAUAGUAUUAAUCUGUAAAAAAAAACUAUCGAAAAAAAUAAUUCCUUUAAGUAUAUUUUGUUUCAAGUGGACACAUUUAAAAGUAAAAAUAGGUACUAUUUAGCUUUAAAAAAAUUAAGUAUACUUUUCUAAAGUGUAAUAGAACAGUAACAAUGUAAAGGGGAAAUUUAAGAGACUGAGUAUACAAAAAUGAAAUGGUCAAAUAAGAAUAGAAUAUUCUAAUGUAAAUAUAAAGAAAGGUUGUGGUGUAAAAAUACUGUUGAAAGGCUGAAGAAAAUGAUUGACUGUUGGGAGUUUAAAUAAAUAUUUAAAAAAAU